rnacentral:rRNA from 1 species
UGUGUGUGUUAGUGGAAGCGUCUGGAAAGGCGCGCGAUACAGGGUGACAGCCCCGUACACAAAAAUGCACAUACUGUGAGCUCGAUGAGUAGGGCGGGACACGUGGUAUCCUGUCUGAAUAUGGGGGGACCAUCCUCCAAGGCUAAAUACUCCUGACUGACCGAUAGUGAACCAGUACCGUGAGGGAAAGGCGAAAAGAACCCCGGCGAGGGGAGUGAAAAAGAACCUGAAACCGUGUACGUACAAGCAGUGGGAGCCUCUUAAUGGGGUGACUGCGUACCUUUUGUAUAAUGGGUCAGCGACUUAUAUUCUGUAGCAAGGUUAACCGAAUAGGGGAGCCGAAGGGAAACCGAGUCUUAACUGGGCGUUAAGUUGCAGGGUAUAGACCCGAAACCCGGUGAUCUAGCCAUGGGCAGGUUGAAGGUUGGGUAACACUAACUGGAGGACCGAACCGACUAAUGUUGAAAAAUUAGCGGAUGACUUGUGGCUGGGGGUGAAAGGCCAAUCAAACCGGGAGAUAGCUGGUUCUCCCCGAAAGCUAUUUAGGUAGCGCCUCGUGAAUUCAUCUCCGGGGGUAGAGCACUGUUUCGGCAAGGGGGUCAUCCCGACUUACCAACCCGAUGCAAACUGCGAAUACCGGAGAAUGUUAUCACGGGAGACACACGGCGGGUGCUAACGUCCGUCGUGAAGAGGGAAACAACCCAGACCGCCAGCUAAGGUCCCAAAGUCAUGGUUAAGUGGGAAACGAUGUGGGAAGGCCCAGACAGCCAGGAUGUUGGCUUAGAAGCAGCCAUCAUUUAAAGAAAGCGUAAUAGCUCACUGGUCGAGUCGGCCUGCGCGGAAGAUGUAACGGGGCUAAACCAUGCACCGAAGCUGCGGCAGCGACACUAUGUGUUGUUGGGUAGGGGAGCGUUCUGUAAGCCUGUGAAGGUGUACUGUGAGGUAUGCUGGAGGUAUCAGAAGUGCGAAUGCUGACAUAAGUAACGAUAAAGCGGGUGAAAAGCCCGCUCGCCGGAAGACCAAGGGUUCCUGUCCAACGUUAAUCGGGGCAGGGUGAGUCGACCCCUAAGGCGAGGCCGAAAGGCGUAGUCGAUGGGAAACAGGUUAAUAUUCCUGUACUUGGUGUUACUGCGAAGGGGGGACGGAGAAGGCUAUGUUGGCCGGGCGACGGUUGUCCCGGUUUAAGCGUGUAGGCUGGUUUUCCAGGCAAAUCCGGAAAAUCAAGGCUGAGGCGUGAUGACGAGGCACUACGGUGCUGAAGCAACAAAUGCCCUGCUUCCAGGAAAAGCCUCUAAGCAUCAGGUAACAUCAAAUCGUACCCCAAACCGACACAGGUGGUCAGGUAGAGAAUACCAAGGCGCUUGAGAGAACUCGGGUGAAGGAACUAGGCAAAAUGGUGCCGUAACUUCGGGAGAAGGCACGC